GUCAACUUCCCAAAGCUUUUCAGCGUCAAGAAAGAGGAAUUUGAAGGGGAUUUACGCUGCAGAUUAUGGACACUGAAGACCAUAAGCAGAAAGUUCAAGUCUGGGUGGCCAGAAGUUACAUUUCAGUGACCUGGUUACCGCCUCUCUCUGGAAACCCAAAGGAUCACUUUCCUGAUUUUUUGUUCUUUCUAUGAAUCAAGAUGUG